UAGUGGCGGACGGGUGAGUAACGCGUAAGAAUCUGCCCACAGGACGGGGACAACAACUGGAAACGGUUGCUAAUACCCGAUGUGCCGAGAGGUGAAAUCUAAUUGGCCUGUGGAAGAGCUUGCGUCUGAUUAGCUAGUUGGUAGUGUAAGAGACAACCAAGGCGACGAUCAGUAGCUGGUCUGAGAGGAUGAGCAGCCACACUGGGACUGAGACACGGCCCAGACUCCUACGGGAGGCAGCAGUGGGGAAUUUUCCGCAAUGGGCGAAAGCCUGACGGAGCAACGCCGCGUGAGGGAGGAAGGUCCUUGGAUUGUAAACCUCUUUUCUCAAGGAAGAAAAAAAUGACGGUACUUGAGGAAUAAGCAUCGGCUAACUUCGUGCCAGCAGCCGCGGUAAUACGAGGGAUGCAAGCGUUAUCCGGAAUUAUUGGGCGUAAAGCGUCCGCAGGUGGCCUUCCAAGUCUGCCGUUAAAGAGUGGAGCUUAACUCCAUAAAGGCGGUGGAAACUGGAAAGCUAGAGAGCAGUAGGGGGUAGCGGAAUU
rnacentral:rRNA from 1 species